AAGCUCUCAUUGGAUCACCUUCACCACCAACAUGUUCUCUGUAGCUUUGCUGCUGCUGCUGGCUGCUGGAUCCUAUGUGAAGUGUGAACAGCUGACACAACCAGCCGCUUUGACUGUUCAGCCAGGUCAACCUCUGACCAUCAGCUGUCAGGUUUCUUAUUCUUUGAGCACCAUGACACACUGGAUCAGACAACCUGCAGGAAAAGGCCAGGAGUGGAUUGGUUACAUGUGCUCUGGAUGCACAGGAGCUCGCAAAGAUUCUUUAAAGAACAAGUUCACUAUUACAGUACAAGCGUCCAGUAAAACAGUGACUCUGAAUGGACAGAAUCUGCAGCCUGAAGACUCUGCUGUGUAUUACUGUGCCAGAGACUCACAGUAA